rnacentral:rRNA from 1 species
GACAGAGGGUGCGAACGUUGCUCGGAAUUACUGGGCGUAAAGCGCGUGUAGGCGGCCUCGCGAGUCGGGUGUGAAAGCCCGGGGCUCAACCCCGGACGUGCAUUCGAUACUACGGGGCUAGAGUUCUGAAGAGGAGGGCGGAAUUCCCGGUGUAGAGGUGAAAUUCGUAGAUAUCGGGAGGAACACCAGUGGCGAAGGCGGCUCUCUGGACAGACACUGACGCUGAGACGCGAAAGCGUGGGUAGCAAACAGG